rnacentral:rRNA from 1 species
UACGUAGGGACCAAGCGUUGUCCGGAAUCAUUGGGCGUAAAGCGCGCGUAGGUGGCCAUUUAAGUCCGCUGUGAAAGCCCUGGGCUUAACCUGGGAAUUGCAGUCGAUACUACUCAGCUAGAGUAUGGGAGAGGGUAGUGGAAUUCCCGGUGUAGCGGUGAAAUGCGUAGAUAUCCGGAGGAACACCAGUGGCGAAGGCGGCUUCCUGGACCGAUACUGACGCUGAGGCGCGAAAGCUAGGGGAGCAAACGGG